UUAUACGAAGGAUUUAAAUGAAAUAGAUUGGUGGAAUGAAGUAAAUAUUUGUUUUAAAUAAAUUUUUUAAAUAAAAAAUUAAGGGUAAAAUUUUUAUUUUUUUAAAUGAAAAGUUAUAACAGAAUGAACUAUCUUUGAAAAUUAAGAUUUAAACUAGGAUUAGAUACCCUAUUAUUCUUUAUUUUAUUAAUUGCCAGGGUAGUAGAAUUUUUAAAACCUAAAGAAUUUGGCGGUACCUUAUUCUUACUAGAGGAACCUGCUCUUGGAUCGAUAAUCCACGUUUUAAUGUACAUGUUUUUGUUUUCAGUUUGUAUACCGCCGUUGUCAGAUUAUUUUUAAAAAAUAUAAUCUAAUUAAUAGUUAAUUGGGACUUCAGGUCAAGGUGCAGCUUAUAAAUAUGGGAGUAGUGGGUUACAAUAAUAUAGAAUUAUACGGAUUAAUUAGUGUAAUACAAAUUAUGAAGGUGGAUUUAGUAGUAAAUUAAGAAUAAAAUUCUUAUUUGAAAUGAGCUCUGAGGUGUGUACACAUCGCCCGUCGCUCUCUCCCUUAAGGAGAGAUAAGUCGUAACAUAGUAG
rnacentral:rRNA from 1 species